rfam:Oryza barthii chromosome 5, whole genome shotgun sequence.
AAAAAGGCAAACUGUGGGUUCCCGUGCCAACGUUUCACUGUCCGUUUUAUAUGAAAUUUUUUUAUAAUUAGUAUUUUUAUUGUUGUUAGAUGAUAAAACAUGAUUAAGCGUGACUUAUCUUUUUAAUUUUUUUUAUAAUUUUUUUAAAUAAGACGGACAGUCAAACAUUGGUCACGGAAACCAGGGUUUGUCUUUUU